GGGGGCUUAAAGUCGUCGCGCUAACCCGCAAGGGAGGCAGCCGGCCACGGUAAGGUCAGCGACUGGGGUGAAGUCGUAACAAGGUAGCCGUAGGUGAACCUGCAGAAGGAUCA
rnacentral:rRNA from 1 species